GACGAACGCUGGCGGCGUGCCUAAUACAUGCAAGUCGAACGCAUUUUCUUUCACCGUAGCUUGCUACACCGAAAGAAAAUGAGUGGCGAACGGGUGAGUAACACGUGGGUAACCUGCCCAUCAGCGGGGGAUAACACUUGGAAACAGGUGCUAAUACCGCAUAAUUCCAUUUACCGCAUGGUAAAUGGAUGAAAGGCGCUUUUGCGUCACUGAUGGAUGGACCCGCGGGGCAUUAGCUAGUUGGUGGGGUAACGGCCUACCAAGGCUGCGAUGCAUAGCCCCACUGAGAGGGUGAUCGGCCACACUGGGACUGGGACACGCCCCAGACGCCUACGGGAGGCAGCAGUAGGGAAUCUUCGGCCAGGGACGCAAGUCUGACCGAGCAACGCCGCGUGAGUGAAGAAGGUUUUCGGAUCGUAAAACUCUGUUGUUAGAGAAGAACAAGGAUGAGAGUGGAAAGUUCAUCCCUUGACGGUAUCUAACCAGAAAGCCACGGCUAACUACGUG
rnacentral:rRNA from 1 species